rnacentral:rRNA from 1 species
AAUUUCAAAAAAUUAUCAUAUCAUCCCCGAAGGCCUGCAGCGGCGUUGACACAAUGUGAUUUCUGCCCAGUGCUCUGAAUGCCAAAGAAAUUCAAUGAAGCACGGGUAAAUGGGGGGAGUAACUAGGACUCUCUUAAGGUAGCCAAAUGCCUCAUCAUCUAAUUAGUGAUGUGCAUGAAUGGAUGAAGGAGAUU